GAUGAACGCUGGCGGCGUGCCUAAUACAUGCAAGUCGAGCGAAUGGAUUAAGAGCUUGCUCUUAUGAAGUUAGCGGCGGACGGGUGAGUAACACGUGGGUAACCUGCCCAUAAGACUGGGAUAACUCCGGGAAACCGGGGCUAAUACCGGAUAACAUUUUGAACCGCAUGGUUCGAAAUUGAAAGGCGGCUUCGGCUGUCACUUAUGGAUGGACCCGCGUCGCAUUAGCUAGUUGGUGAGGUAACGGCUCACCAAGGCAACGAUGCGUAGCCGACCAGAGAGGGGACUCGGCCAAGCUGGGACUGAGAGACGGUCAGGACGCCUACGGGAGGCAGCAGUAGGGAAUCUUCCGCGAUGGACGAAAGUCUGACGGAGCAGCGCCGCGUGAGUGAUGAAGGCUUUCGGGUCGUAAAACUCUGUAAUUAGGGAAGAACAAGUGCUAGUUGAAUAAGCUAGCACCUUGACGGUACCUAACCAGAAAGCCACGGCUAACUACGUGCCAGCCGCCGCGGUAA
rnacentral:rRNA from 1 species